rnacentral:rRNA from 1 species
CACGCCCUAAACGAUGUACACUAGGUGCAGGGAGAAUCGACCCUUUCUGUGCCGUAGCUAACGCGUUAAGUGUACCGCCUGGGGAGUACGGUCGCAAGGCUAAAACUCAAAGGAAUAGACGGGGAUCCGCACAAGUGGUGGAGCAUGUGGUUUAAUUCGAUGGUAAGCGAGGCACCUCACCAAGGUUUGAAACUACGCUGCAAGCCCCAGAAAUGGGGAAGCUUUCGAAGGUGCGUAGCAGGUGC